UAAUAAUAAUAAUAAUAAUAAUAAUAAUAAUAAUAAUAAUAAUAAUUUGGGGGUACCUUUUUUUGUUAAUGUUUGGUAGUAUUAAUUUAAAUAUUUUAGAAUUAUGAUUACCGGGUGGUUGAUUUGAGUUAGUUAUUUGGUGCUCCUAUAAAAGGGCUUCUUUUUGCAUGCUGCAGCGUCUGCCUUGGGUUCCCCCCUCCCCCUUCCGCUUCACCGCGUGGCUCAGAGGUAUGUUUGGCUUUGUGUGUGAGGGAGAAACGCACGUGUAAGUCGGCGUUUAGUUAAUUUAUUUGUUUUAUUUAGAGCGUUUUGUUGCUGUCUCAUCCUCUGAAACUGCACUCGAGUCUGGCUUAUCCCAGUUCUCAGUUUAACUCCUCAGUGGGAAUUGUUGGCGUCUGACCAAUUGUAACGCUGCCUGACGGCAUUUUCAUCAGCUCUGUAAGUAUACGAACCGCUUAUCUAGUCAGGGGGUAGUAAAAUGGGUUUAAACUUUAUAUUUAUGCCUUCUGUGUUUUUAAUUUAGCGGGUCCAGCCGAUCUGGUGUGAUUACUGGCUGUUGCAUGAAGAUAGCAUCCUGUAACGGUGAAAUAAGCUGCCGUUUUGCCUCCAGAGAAGUUUAAUGAAGCUCUAAGACACUUUUAUUCUCUUAAGUGUGUUGAUAACUGUGGUGGGAACCUAUAUCAUUCUGUGCUGAAUUAUCGGACUGCAGCUUGUGCUCAUGCACACUGUUUUAUAGCUGAAAAGCUCUACUCUUACUUACUUACUAUUUGUUUAUAAAACUCCGUCUACUAUCAGUGCAACUAUAUUACACCUGUGGUGUAUGCAUUGUUAUUUUUGUGCACUGAUGCUUCAUCUGUAAAUUGUUUGCUGUGUGCAAUAGUUAAUCCAAUCUAAACUGUAUUUUGAGCCAUUGUAUUGUGGUCCUUUUUAUAUUUCUGAUUUUAUUUGGUAGUUGUGGAGUAGGUGCAUGAGGGAUCCAGGAGGGGAGAUUUAAGUAUUAUUUUCACUUUGCUUUACUGGUUGGGAUUUGAUUUAUUUUCUGGCACGGGUGACUUUUGUUGUGAUUUUGAUAUUUUUUUUAGUUAAAUUUUGGCCCCCACCUGGUGAGCUUCAGCCCUACAACAAUUAAAAUGAGCUUCUUUGUAAUUUCUUAACUCAAAUGACCUGUUGUUGAUUUUAAUGUGUUUUUGAGCAUUGAGUGGUUCUGGUGAUAUUAAUAUUAAAAUUUUCUCUGUUUUGCA